rnacentral:rRNA from 1 species
UACGAACUGUGCGAACGUUAUUCGGAAUCACUGGGCUUACAGGGUGCGUAGGCGGCUUGUUAAGUAGGGUGUGAAAGCCCCCGGCUCAACCGGGGAAUUGCGCCCUAAACUGGCGAGCUGGAGUGAGAUAGGGGUGUGUGGAACUUCCGGUGGAGCGGUGAAAUGUGUUGAUAUCGUCUGGAACGCCGAAGGUGAAAACAGCUCGCUGGGGCUGCGCUGACGCUGAGACACGAAAGCCAGGGGAGCGAACGGG